UGAUAUGUGGGAGCAAAACUAUGAGG
rnacentral:piRNA from 1 species